rnacentral:tRNA from 1 species
UCCUCAGUAGCUCAGUGGUAGAUCGGUCAGUUGUUAAUCGAUUAGUCGUAGGUUCGAAUCCUACUUGGAGAG